rnacentral:lncRNA from 1 species
AGCCAAAAGCACAGACGAGGCCACUUCCUCUUCUUCCUUCCUCCACAGCAGAGCCAAGAAGAAGCACGAGGGGUCAGGGAAUCCAACCAAGCCCAGGAAGAUGGGUGCGACGCUCCUGCAGGCGGUGGCGGCGCUGGUGGGCCGGCUGCAGCGGGCGGCGCGGAGGAUGGCUGCCGGCGCCGGAGGGGCCGGCAAAGGGUCGCCGCCUCGCGCCGUCGUGGCGCCGUGGAAGAAGACGUUCUCGCUGGCACCGUCGGGGAAGGCGGCCAGGGAGGCCGAGGCCGGGGUGUGGAGGAAGGAGAUCCUCAUGGGUGAGCGCUGCCAGCCGCUCGACUUCUCCGGGGUCAUCUACUACGACGCCGAGGGCCGCCGCCUCGCGCAACCGCCGCCGCCCAGGUCGCCCAUGCGCAGCCCGCUCCCGGCCUCGCCCAGGCUCGCCGCCAACGCCUGCGCCUACUAGCUACUCCGUAUUAGGCUUGGAUCGGAGGGGUUGGGGGCUCAGCGUUCUUUGCUCUUGCCUGCAACGCGUUGGCCGCAAGACGGCGAGCUUGCUCUGUUUUAGUUGGGGAUGAGGCAGAGUGUGUGUCUGCUGGGGGAUUGUAGCUGU